rnacentral:lncRNA from 1 species
CGCAUGCGCGCCGCGCGCUCGCCCCGCACCUACGUGCCGCGCGGCGCCCCCCUCCCCGCCGAGCGCCGCUCGAUUUUCCGAUUGGCCCGCCGCCGGCCAAUCGACGGGCGGGACGGCUCGCACUCUGCCUAGCGACGCGGAAAGCCGCUCGCCUAUUGGGCGAGAGCGCCGAGCGCCGUCCUCGCCCGCUUCCCGCCGCCGCGCGCCCGCCGCCAUUUUGUGAGGGCUCUUCGGGGGGGUGGAGGGCGGUGGGGCUGAGCCCGGGGGCGGCCCCGGAGCUCGCACGGGACCCCCAACGCCGGGCCCGGCUCCGUGGGGCGCGGGGGGAACCGAACGAGCCCCGCGGAGUGGGAAACGGAGCCCGGAGCGCGGCGGGAGGGGUGCUGUGCCGGCGGUGCGGUGCGGAACGGAAGGCGCUCCGGGCGCUUAAAGCGCUGAGGGUGUGGAGAGAAACCGCCUUACGGUGAAGCGCUGCUGGAGGAAGCGCUGCUGUGUGAGGAACGGAAACGAGCAGUGGUGGGUUGAGACUCUUCCCACCCCCCCGAAGAUCCUCCCCAUGGGGCCACGCUGGAUCCGAACCGCGCCGCUCGGAGGAAGCGUUGGCAUUUAGAAGUGAAAACCUUGAAAGAAAAGCAAAAACGAAAAAAAAAAUAACCCCAAAACCCACGGAAUGACCCCAAAAAGGGCCCUCGCUGCAAAUGGAGCUGAUGUUGCGCUCUGGGUGAUCUAAAACCAACACUUUUCUUCCAUAAGCCACAGCAGGGGCGAUCUAAGGCGCUUCUUCCCUCAACGAGCCCCAAAAUCCCCCAAAUUUGGGGCAAAAUCCCCUUUAUCCAUCUCUAUGGUCCCUCCGCCCGUCUCUAUGGUCCCACCGCUCCGCCCAGAGCGGCGCUUCCUGCGGAGGCCGGAAGUAGCGCCAGCACGUUGGCGCGGCGGCCGGAAGUGACGCCAACACGCGGCUGCGGCGGCAGGAAGUGACGCCAACACGCGGCUGCGGCGGCAGGAAGUGACGCCAUCGCGAGGCGGCGGAGGCCCGAGGCGGGAGCGGCGGUUGCGGGGAGGUGAGAGGG